CCUACGGGAGGCAGCAGUGAGGAAUAUUGGUCAAUGGGCGAGAGCCUGAACCAGCCAAGUCGCGUGAGGGAGUACUGCCCUAUGGGUUGUAAACCUCUUUUGUCGGGGAGCAAAAGCCGGACGUGUCCGGCUGUGAGAGUACCCGAAGAAAAAGCAUCGGCUAACUCCGUGCCAGCAGCCGCGGUAAUACGGAGGAUGCGAGCGUUAUCCGGAUUUAUUGGGUUUAAAGGGUGCGCAGGCGGAUUUUUAAGUCAGCGGUCAAAUCGUGGGGCUCAACCCCAUCCAGCCGUUGAAACUGGGGAUCUAGAGUGUGCGAGAGGUAUGCGGAAUGCGUGGUGUAGCGGUGAAAUGCAUAGAUAUCACACAGAACACCGAUUGCGAAGGCAUCUGACGAAUCGGAGAUUGACGCUGAUGCACGAAAGCGUGUGUAUCGAACAGGAUUAGAUACCCGAGUAGUC
rnacentral:rRNA from 1 species